GUUCUAGAAUUAAAAAAGUUUGGCGGUAAUUUAGUCUAAUUAGAGGAACCUGUAGAAUAAAUGAUAAUCCACAAAUAUCUUACUUAAGUUGGUAUAAUCAAUUUAUAUAUCGCCGUUUAGAUUUAUUUAAAAGGAUUAUAUCAAGAAAAAUUAAUUUUGAAAUUCAGGUCAAGGUGUAGUUUAUAUUUAAGUUCUUAUGGGUUACAAUAAGUGAAUUAUAGAAUGGAUGUUAAUUGAAAAAUUUAAUAUGAAGGUGGAUUUAAUUGUAAAUAUCCAUUAUAAAGGGAUGUUGAAUGAGCACUGAAUUAUGC
rnacentral:rRNA from 1 species